rnacentral:misc_RNA from 1 species
GUUGACAACUUGGCACGGGAAACGUCAGUGUGAAGUGAGACACGGGAGGGGAAGGUGCUGUCGGUCGUCUCUCUCACUUGAUGGACGCUGUUCGUAAAAUGUAUAUGAUGGAUCCAGUUCUUACUAUUGUGUUAAAAGUCCAGUUUGCUGCAACGGUGGUCGCCAGUGUGGAUAGUACAGCACCUCAUGUUUUAGGAUGAUGACUUGAAGAUGGAGAAUGCAAGAAAUGAUGACCACGAGUUCUUAUGGUGACGUGACUUGCUGCACCAGAAAGUCAGUAGGUUCUGGACCUUGUCAAGGAGAGGUGUGCACUCUGCUGUACCACACAUCUUGCCUCACUUGUACGGCUGUACCAGGCUUCUCUCCUCCAAUAUCAGGAUUGCAAGUGAUUCACAACACAACUAAAGGAAGCAGGUGCCAAGAUACAGCCCAGACCCAGCCUUCCACCCCUCCUCUCUACCUCAGAAAUGUUGUUCUGAACACUGGAGUGCCAUGCUGCCCGAGACUGUGCUUACUGGCCACUACCCUGUACUUGCUUGCUGCUGCCCUGUGCUUGCUGGCUGCUGCCCUGGACUGCUCUGCUCUGUGUGCCGCUCCCCUGGACGGCUCUGCUCUGUGUGCCGCUCCCCUGGACGGCUCUGCUCUGUGUGCCGCUCCCCUGGACGGCUCUGCUCUGUGUGCCGCUCCCCUGGACGGCUCUGCUCUGUGCAUGCCGCUGUCCUGGACGGCUCUGCUCUGUGCGUGCCGCUCCCCUUGACGGCUCUGCUCUGUACAUGCUGCUGUCCUGGACUGCUCUGCUGUGUGUGCAGCUGCCCUGGCCUGCAAAUUUAUAGAGCCAUUAAGUUUCCAUUAAUAAAUGUCUAAAUGUCA